rnacentral:rRNA from 1 species
UACGUAGGGGGCUAGCGUUGUCCGGAAUCAUUGGGCGUAAAGAGCGUGUAGGCGGUCCGGUAAGUCCGCUGUGAAAGUCGGGGGCUCAACCCUCGAAUGCCGGUGGAUACUGUCGGGCUAGAGUGCGGAAGAGGCGAGUGGAAUUCCUGGUGUAGCAGUGAAAUGCGUAGAUAUCAGGAGGAAUACCGAUGGCGAAGGCAGGUCUCUGGGCUGACACUGACGCUCAUGCACGAAAGCGUGGGGAGCAAACAGG